rnacentral:rRNA from 1 species
CACGUAGGGGGCAAGCGUUGUCCGGAAUUACUGGGCGUAAAGCGCACGUAGGUGGCGACGUAAGUCGGGUGUGAAAGCCCCGGGCUCAACCUGGGAAUUGCAUUCGAGACUGCAUUGCUGGAGUACGGAAGAGGAAGGCGGAAUUCCCGGUGUAGCGGUGAAAUGCGUAGAUAUCGGGAGGAACAUCAGUGGCGAAGGCGGCCUUCUGGUCCAGUACUGACACUCAAGUGCGAAAGCGUGGGGAGCAAACAGG